rnacentral:rRNA from 1 species
GCACAAGCGGUGGAGCAUGUGGUUCAAUUCGAAGCAACGCGCAGAACCUUACCAGCCCUUGACAUCCCGGUCGCGGAGAGCAGAGACGCACUCCUUCAGUUCGGCUGGACCGAAGACAGGUGCUGCAUGGCUGUCGUCAGCUCGUGUCGUGAGAUGUUGGGUUAAGUCCCGCAACGAGCGCAACCCUCGCCUUCAGUUGCCAUCAUUCAGUUGGGCACUCUGGAGGGACUGCCGGUGAUAAGCCGGAGGAAGGUGGGGAUGACGUCAAGUCCUCAUGGCCCUUACAGGCUGGGCUACACACGUGCUACAAUGGCGGUGACAGAGGGACGCGAAUGGGCAACCAUAAGCAAAUCUCAAAAAGCCGUCUCAGUUCGGAUUGCACUCUGCAACUCGAGUGCAUGAAGUUGGAAUCGCUAGUAAUCGCGGAUCAGCACGCCGCGGUGAAUACGUUCCCGGGC